rnacentral:rRNA from 1 species
UACGGAGGGGGCUAGCGUUGUUCGGAAUUACUGGGCGUAAAGCGGGUGUAGGCGGAUCUUUAAGUCGGGGGUGAAAGCCCAGGGCUCAACCCUGGAAUUGCCUUCGAUACUGGAGAUCUCGAGUGUGGGAGAGGUGAGCGGAAUUCCGAGUGUAGAGGUGAAAUUCGUAGAUAUUCGGAGGAACACCAGAGGCGAAGGCGGCUCACUGGACCACAACUGACGCUGAGACCCGAAAGCGUGGGGAGCAAACAGG